rnacentral:lncRNA from 1 species
UUGGCAUCUUCAUCUGGCGACCUUGCCGUUGCCCGGCCUUGCCUUGCCGUGGAUUGUUGUUUGUAUUUUGUAUUAUUUGUGCUUUUUAAGAAUAUUUUUUUAAUUCGGAUACUUUUAUAAUAGCUUUAAUAGUAUUAUUAACAUAGUGCAUAAAAUGGUGUCCUGUUUUUAACGCAGUUGGAGUAGCAGAAACAAAUGUAGAUAAAAAAAUCUGCAGGAAUAACGUUUCAAUUAUGACAGAAGCUCAAAACAAAUGACUGAAUGAAAAGCCCUAUUAAAAGCUUUCCAGAAGAUCCUGCGAAGAAGACAAGAAAGUAUAGAUUAGAUUUGUUAAUAGAGGAGUAUGUUCAAAACACUUUUUAGAAAAAGAUAUUGACAGAACUUCACUUUCAUCUGUUCGUUUGAGAGACUGUGCUGUUCCAAUAGCUUAUGUCACACAGAAUCAGCUGAGAGAAGUGGUCUACAAAAAACCAGAAAGGAAACGGAAUAUGUGGCUACGAAAAGCAAAAGAAAGGUUUACAAAGCAAAUGUGACACAUUUUUUUAUAAUAUUUAGGAAUGUCAGCAAAUUACAUUAAAAAAUGUAUGUAAAGAUUUUUUGCAAUAAAAAUGUUUAUAUUUAUCAA